UAAAGUCAAGUGUCUACAUUUGUUCAUGAGAGUGAAGUGGCCAGUUGUUCAGAAAUGAACAAUUUGAAUGAUCUGAAAUCAAAGACAAGAGCUAAAUAUUCUAAAUUAGCUGGAGAAGCUUCUAACAAUUGGCUUCUACAAGUUUUUUAUGUUAAAAUGGCCUGGUUUUUAUUCAGUUAUUAUGUGCAUCAACAGGUGCCACACUUAUCACUGUUUUAGAAAGGUGUGGAUAAAUACAUUCUGAGGGGAAAUAAUUCUUUGUUUUGUCAUAAAUAUUCUAAAUUAUUGGGCACAACCUGCCAAGUGUCAGUGUAUGACCAGAGAUCCAGACUUCUAUUUACAUUAUAAAAGACUGUGAAAUAGAUGUAUGGUAGGAGUAAUUUCUUUAAUUCAAAUGACAUUUUCUUUUAUUCACUUUAACUUUUCUAGCAUUUUUGUACAGAAAUACAUUUUAAGUGGCAUAAAAACAGGCUUGAAUGAGCUAAAAGCAGAUUUCUUUAGUAUAAUGUCAGCUCAAUGGACUGCUCUGUGACACAAAACAAGAGAAAUCAAUUGCACAGGAGAAUGCUGAUCUUGCAAAGACUUAUGAACUAAAGUUCAUGCUAAAGUUAAUGCCCUCUGAAUAGUUUCAGACUCCCUUUGAAGUCAGUGGGGCUGUUCACAGUUUAAAAAAUCUAAGCAUUUGCAGGCCUGGGACCAAGACAUUGAUGUCAAUAAAACAAACAUCUUUGUUUUUUGUAACACUGGAAUUAGAGUAAACUGUGUCCAGAAGAACCCCAUGUAAUUGCCCACAUUUUAUUUGUGAUAUUUUUAACCAUUCUGUAGGCUUAUUUUCAACAUAUAGUUUGUAGUUAUUAACAUGUUUGUUAGAAGAAGUUGGAGACAUACCAUGUAGACGAUGAAAAUUAAAUGGUAGAUUUUUUUCUUAAAAUCAUAAAAUUAUUUUAACAAACCUCCAUUGACACUUGUCCUUUUUACAUGUUUUAUCUGAUUAAUAAAGGCAUAAGAAAAUAAAAGGAUUUUGUGAAAGUGUACAUUUUCAGCAUGUUUGAGAUUUAAGGUUUGAUUACACUGAUUUCAGUGGAGCAAUGUUGUUUUAAAAGUUACCACUCUUUAGACUUACCACUGUUUUAAGAUGAACAAUUCUGACCUGUAGAAAGUCCUAGCAGGUCACUUUAUUCCCCCUCUCCCAGAGCAAGUUAGUGACGUACAACAUUUUUAGUGCUUUCUUAUACAGCAUGGUCCCAGUAAAACUAUUGCCUUGUUGGGUUCAACUCCUCCAAAUAUGCUAGUAUCAUGUUCCAGCAGGAAAGGCUGGGAAACUUAACUCCACACUAGAUUCUGUCAGAUAAAAAUAUGGAAAUAAAAAGAAAGGAGACAUAUCGAUUAUGCUGAUUUGCGGAAAAGACAGGAAAUAAGAGGAUCAGAAAUAAAAAGUAUUUCUCCUUUCAUGUCCAUAACCAGGCUGAUUGAAGCAGACAUGUCUGAACUUGAUUCCUCAGAGGACAGCUCACACUCUAAUGGUUCUACACCACUUCUGGGCUUUCUCCCUCCCUUCUAUCCACCACUCUCAACAAAGUGUUAUUCUCAAGAGAAGAUUGAUCAUGGACAGAACUGCCAACAAUUUUUCUGAUGCAAGGGAUAGGAUUGAUCCCAAAGAUGAAGUUUGGAAGAGCCAUUGGCGAUCAGCAAGGUGUUUUUAAUAAUUUUUUUGUUUUACAUAAGAAAAUAAGAUUAUAGUUAGCCAAUAAUAAAACAAAGAUUUGGAAGUUUCUGGUGCCAAAAAAUUGAUAUUCUGUUUGUUGAGCAAAUGCCAGCUGCAAGGUACUUUGGUAGUGACAGUUUCACAUUCUGGUCUAGUCUGUGGCCAGAGGGGAUAUAGAGGAGCUGUCACUUAAGCACCAAAAAGUAAGUUGUCCAGCCAGCCAGCAGCAGUGCCCCGAUCAGCACGGUGUAACUGAACAGCACGAAGGCCAGCAGCUCCUUCAGCACUUUUAGGAAGUGGACAGCAAAGGACUCCUGCAUGGUUCUUCCAAGCACCCCAAGCCAGAUGCGAUUUUUGCAGUUGUCUCACGCUCCGCUCCCCACUAAAACAGACCAUUAAAAGAGGAGGACGUUAUUAGAGUGGAACUGGGGAAGCUCAAGAUAAACAUGACAUGACAGGAUGGAUGCCUGUAGAUUUUGUUAGGCUCUAUUAUCAAAAGGGAUGGAUGAAGGUCUUGAGAACUGAUUCCAGUACUUGUGGAAAUCAACCCAUUAUUUGGUAAUUAUUUGGUAAAAAGUAAGUUAAUAUCACAGCUGCUUUAUUAUGAGGGAGCUCAGUCAUACGUGAGGUAAGAGCAAUCAGGUGAUAAGUUUCCUGAUAAUUUUUUUACGUUCUUCUAAAAAUCAAAUGUUCCUUUACAUAAAGUAUUCACCAAAGAAAUAACAUUGUUAAAUAAGAGUGCAUGACUAUAAUAAGUAGAAAUCUACAUAAUGGCUUAAAAAGUUUUACACUGAAUAAACUCUUCUAUUUCUGUGCAAAGAAUAUAACUAUAAAAGGGAGGAUUUUGUUAAAUAUUAAGGUCUGUUUCACAAAUGGUCACACUUUAUAAUGUAACGGAAUAAAGAAUGCUCAUAUAGAAACACUAGGUUUGAGACUAGACCACAAUUUAACAAAAAAUUGAGAAAAUUUAAAGGAUUAACAAGACUGUAACUAUGAGGUGUAAGACAGGUAUGUGCCCCAAGGAAAGUGAAUUCUAAAGCAGGAGACAAUUGCUAAGGUAAGUUUCUUCUGAAGAUGUCUCCUGAUUUUUGUUCAUUUUAAUAGUUAGGAAUUUUCUGAAGAGUUAAGUGAUGUUGAUUUUAAUAUUCAUUUUACCAUCCCUCACCUCCAGAGGGAGAAAGGAAAAAGUGUUCCGCUGUUUCACUGGACUACAUUUUGUCAGUGACCUGCUAAGUGCCAUGUCUAGGGGCACAUCUACACUACAAGAUAAGGUCAACUCUAACAUAGCUGAUAUCUGGGCACCCAAUUUUGAGAAGACAAAACGUUUGUGUCUUCACUAUGGACAAGAAUCAAAUGUCUGAAAUAGUGCAUCCACAUUACAAAGUUUACUGCUAGAGAGGGAUGCACUGUGGAUUGGUUGGCAGUCUGGACUGUGAUUCCAGUGUCUGUUGGAUCCAAAACUUGGCAACAGGUGGUUAGAGGGGCUCAUGUUGCUUGCAUUCCAUAAAGCACUCCUCCAGUCUUUCCCCCUUGUGCGAGAUAAAGGAGAUGCAGUGUAAUUUCACCUUUUGGUGCUCUGGUUGCCCACAUGGACACCAGAGCACUGUGAUCAUACAGUCCAGGAUACUGGAAAGCAUUGUCAUGCUCAUGGAUGUCAUGGUGUGCUUCAUGGCACUAUCCUAUGAGAACCUACGCGUAUUGCUCCAUCAGGAAGAGGACAAUGAUGAAGCUCGAUGUGGCACAGAGGCCCUGCUCAGGCAAGCCCUGGCACUUAUGCUAGUGCAGCCAGCAGUCAAUCCUUUGGACACAGUGCAAUUCUGGUUCUGGCAGUGGGAGAUGAGCUUAGACUGGUGGGACUGCAUCAUGAUGUAGAGAUGGGAUGAUCAGCAAUGGCUGCAGAAUGUCUGCAUGUGCAAGGCCAUGUUCCUGGAACUCUCUGAAUGGCUUGCCCCUGCCCUGAGGUGCCAGGAUACCCAUAUGACCAUGCAGAAGUGCAUGGCAGUUGCUGUGUGGAAGCUGGCCAUGCCAGAAAACUACCUUUCAGUCAGGAAUGAGUUUGGGGUGGGGAAAUCUACAGUCAGAGCUAUUAUCAUACAAGUAGCCAUGGCCAUCAGUAACAUCA